UACGUAGGUGGCAAGCGUUGUCCGGAAUUAUUGGGCGUAAAGCGCGCGCAGGCGGUUCUUUUAAGUCUGAUGUGAAAGCCCCCCGGCUCAACCGGGGGAGGGUCAUUGGAAACUGGGGAACUUGAGUGCAGAAGAGAAGAGCGGAAUUCCACGUGUAGCGGUGAAAUGCGUAGAGAUGUGGAGGAACACCAGUGGCGAAGGCGGCUCUUUGGUCUGUAACUGACGCUGAGGCGCGAAAGCGUGGGGAGCAAACAGG
rnacentral:rRNA from 1 species